rnacentral:rRNA from 2 species
UUUAUCGGAGAGUUUGAUCCUGGCUCAGGACGAACGCUGGCGGCGUGCCUAAUACAUGCAAGUCGAGCGGACAGAUGGGAGCUUGCUCCCUGAUGUUAGCGGCGGACGGGUGAGUAACACGUGGGUAACCUGCCUGUAAGACUGGGAUAACUCCGGGAAACCGGGGCUAAUACCGGAUGGUUGUUUGAACCGCAUGGUUCAGACAU